UAGGAGUGUAGCCCAGUAGGUCUCAGCCUUAUUUUACCCAGCUCCUAUUCAAGAUGGAGUUGCUCUGGUUCAAACGUCUCUGACAAUUUGGUGAGUGGACCAUGGCCCCAGUGGUAACAGGACCCUUUUCAUGCGGUUCUCAGACUUUCUCCUCCCACUUCUUUAUUGGCCUUCCCUUUGAGAACUUGGGAUUCCAAGUCACUGGAACAGUAUUUCUCUUUAUUUUUUUCGAUAUUAUGUUUCCGUUUGAAAACUAUAAUGUUUCGUACUGCCUAUUCUCUCUAGUCAAGCACAUUUUAUAAUAUAAAGAUUAACACCCUGUUCCAAGACUCAACUACGGUGGGAUCCAGGGAAGUUUUUUCACUAAAAUUCAACAAGAAAUGAGGACUUUGAGAUCUGGUAAUUUCUGCAUGUUCAGAAUUUGACAGGAGGUAUUAAUGGAUAGCAUGUAGCCUCCAAGACCUCCAGACAUCUCUGAGUGCUACCAGUUUACUCAAGAUGAGACCUCUUUGUCCAGUAGAUGUGUACAUUUCUUUGCUUUUGUAUUUAUAUUUUUGAAUAUGAUGGUUUUCCUUUUGCUUCUAGUAAAGUUUUUUGUUUGUUUGUUUGUCUUUUUAAAUACAUAUUGAAAGUCCAGCUGGCAGAAGUGAAUGCACCCAACAGGCUGGAGGUUAAUACAGAAGACAGCUGAGGAGACAAACAGGACAAUGCCCUGAAUGGAUGUGGGCAGAAAGCAGUUAAAGUGUGGGCAAGAAGAGAGCUGAGACCGCCACCCGCUCCACGCUGUUUCCCCAAAAGCUCACCCUGACUCAGACUUUAGCCUGUCACUCUGGCCAUAAUUGUGUCUUCAGAGUUGAAGUGCACUACAAAGAGCGAUGAGCCAGAGGAUUUGGCAGCAUUCACUUCUAGUUUCAAAGCCCUAGCAGGGAUGUAGAGGAGGCAGACCUUGGAGUAAGGACUUUAAGGAGUCCUAGUUCUAGAGCCUGUGAGAUCAAAACAGCAAAUUACCAAACUUAGAAAUAGUUAGAAGGAGGGAAACAGAGAGAAAGAUUACCUAGGUUUAUUGAUUCCCUACCAACUGUUAGAUACUGCUAAAUGCUAGCUGUACGUGCAUGUGUGUGUUUAUAAUUUGAUCUUUUCAGCAACCUUGUAAUGUAGGUAUUAUGCUUUAUAGAUGAGAAAAAUGAGACAGGUAGGCAAUUUGCUCAGAGUCAAAGAGAAAAUACACACUACUUCUACUCACAUUGCAUUGGCCAGAACAAGGAGGGGUUGGUAAACAGUAAUAAUAUUGUGUACCAUAUAGUGUAUGAGGGCUGGUUGGCCGGUUGAGCCCAUCCAUUGCAGAGGCUUCUCAGUGUCCUUAGUCUCAGAGGUGAGCCAGAGGAAUGAUAGAGGUCCUCCUCAGGCCUAGACCAAUGACAUACAUACCACUUUGAGCUAUUACUGAUCUACUUAAAAAAUAUUGAAUUCUAGAUAUUGUCAAGUGAUGUUCAAUUUUGCUGUAAUUGAUUGAUUCAGUUCUGCUUUCAUUAGCUUUUAGUCAAUUAAUGUCAGCAUUUGGCUCAUUUCUUCUGUUUUGCUGCCAAAGGUGCUCCUAUUUUAAUCAUAUUACCACUCUCCUUUUUGAUGUAAAAUCUCAUCCAGAAUCAUGGUGUAGAAAACAGACAAAAGCAGGCCUGCUCUUAUUAAACAGGGCAGCUCCACCCAGUCAGCCUUGCCCACUGCUACCCGGCCCCUCCACACACAGUGUGGUCCUUGAGACUCUUCCGUAGGCUCCCAGGGCCUUAGAACUUAAUUUUUUAAAAUGCCAAUUUAAAAAAGAAUAAUAAUGCCGCUCAUUCUUGAUAUUCUUGAUAAAGAGGAUGACUUUUUCCCCCCCGUGCCAAGUUGCAGAGCAGGCCUGCUUAACAACAGCAAUACCAUCUCAUUAAUAAUCAGAAACAGGGAAGAUGGUGUAGAUGCCAUGUUAAAGACUGUUCCGAAGCAGGCCACUGAGCUCAUAUCAAAUAAUAAAGUCCUCUGAAAUGUGGCAGCUUGAAAGCAUUUACAUAUCAUCUAUCUCAUGGAAUCCUCACAUUGUACUUAUGCAGGUGGCUAGUAGCUCCAUUUUUCUAGAAUGAGGAAACAGGAUUAGAGAUGUGAAGUGACGUACCAGGGGCCAUAUGGAAAAAGCCUGGCUUAAAGCGAAGCCAGUUCAAAGGACAGCAGGGCUGAUGGAAACAGAGAAUACCUCCACUAAAGCCCUCAGCUCCAGCUGUCCUGAGCAAACCCUGUCCUUAGACUUUCCAUUCAAGAGGACCAAUGCUCUCCUUUUUUAUUUAGCCAGUUGGAGUCAGUCUUCAGAGAGAGUACUGUAUUACCAUAUGACAGACGACUAUGGGAGGGAGAAAUGUAUGCCAGACUCUGUAGGAACAACUCAAGCAAGUUGAGUGACCGUAGCUGCCCUUGAACUUCUAGAACUGUGGAUCCUGAAGAACAUUCUAGGUGCCACGAGGACUGAUCACAUGUUUCCAAUUUUCCCUCCCUCAGGCAUUUAUUUCACAAGAUACUGCUGCCUAAGGUAACCUGAGCAUGUUUCCAGUUCUUGUAGCCUUACAGAACCCAGGGAAUCCACCAUCUCCGUCCUUCCUCAGUAGGUGACAGGGCCCAUCUCACUGCUCUCUAGCCAGUCUUCUCUAUUCCUGUUGCUUUUUCCUUUGCUCGUGUCAACAAGGAGUUUCUGUCGGUUGGGAGUUUCUGUGGGCUGCAAUCAAGGUGAUGACUGGAGCUGCCGUCUCAUCUGAGGCCCAGCAGAAGGGAAGGAUCUGCUUCUAAGCUCACAUAAUUGUUCCAGCAUUCAGUUCCUUAUUGACCAUCGGAUUGAGAACCUCAGUGUUUUGCUGAUUAUUGUCUGGACGCUUCUCUAAGAUAUGACUAGUUCCUUGCCAUAUCCUAUGGGUUAGAAGCAAGUCACAGGUUUCUCUCACACUCAAAGAAAGGAAAUUAUGCAAGAGAAUGAAUACCAGGAGGCAAGGAUCAUGGAGGCAACUUAGAUUACAUCUGCCACAUUAAUGUUACUGCACAUUGAAAGUAUUUCUAUUAUUAUAAUCUUAGGAUUUGCAUAGUCUGUGUUCUUGAGGCAGGGAAGGAGACAUAUAUCAAGAAAAUAACUGGUGGCUGGAUAAUUGGGAAGAAAUUACAGAAGUGACUAGAUUCUAGAGAUUAGAAAGAUUUCGUUCUUCAAUGAGCUGAAAAUAGGAAUAUCUCCCAAAUAAGGAGAUAUUCAUGAGAAAUUAAUGAUGGCUGAAACUUUCCCUGAUGGAAAAAUGAAUUAGCUUCUGCUCACCAGAAGAAGUGAUGCCAAAUUCAGGAGAAAGAAGGCAGCCAACAUCCUGACCAACAAAGAGACCAAGGCCCGAUAACUGGAUUCGAAUAUCGGUGAAGAAGAUGAUUAAAGGUAGAAAGAGCCUUUACAGUCUGGAGAAAAUAGUAUAGGCCCAAUGGAAGCCCAAAGUCGAAGAGACUUUUAACAGAAAGACAAAGGAAAAGGCGUCCUUGGGACUAGGGGUCUGAGCAAGACCUGAGAAGGCCUGAGAGCCACAGAGAAGCACUACAGAUAUAGCUGAGUUAUCCGGGCCUAGCACCAAAUAUUCUAGAAAGACCCAAAGUACUAACCAGCUCUGACAGCAAGACCAGCCCAUCUCUACCUCUGCAGAAGUUUGAGAAUCUUUGGCUCAUUUUUAUUACCUAACUCCCAAUCCAGCAGGACUAAGAGAAGGGAAAGAGACCAAGACUGAGUGGUUGGAUCAGCCAAAGAUGUCAAAAUUCAACUUCAGUUAAAUUAGCAAGAAUUCUGGGCUUUUUUGUUUCUGUAGCAUUGUGUUAGAUUUGGUUUUUUCCUUGGUUUUCCAAUCCUGGUGGUAGAUGGCUAAACUUUUAUAAAAUCUGUGUGAGUUUAGCAUUCUGACUGUUCCCAUUCUAAAAGAUGAAAAUAGAAAACUCAAAGUUUAUAUCACUCAUUUGAUCUUUGUAAAUGCACUGCUAAAUAAAACACCCAAACUAUUAA